GAGAAAGACGGCACGAUAUGUGAAAGCUGGACAAGACCAGAAGGACAGAAGUGGUGAUACGUGGCUGUAAUCCCACACUUGGGAGGUGCCAAGUGCGGAUCAACCUCACCAGGAGGAAGGUGGCCUCUGCCUCACCUCUCUGCUCACACGCCAUGCUUGCCUGUACCACAGGGAUGAGGUGCAUGCCAGGAAAGGCCCUUCAGCAAUCAACCCGGAACACGCAUUGCUUUGUGCUGUCUCGGGAGAGACAGCUCUGUCUGCGUGCAGCACAGUCCCAAGAAGGACUCCUCGUGCUGAGCAUGUGUGGACCUAAGAAGCAAGGCCAGACCUCAUGUCCCAACCUCAAGCUCAUGAGCAGCCUGCCAGCCCCUGAGCCCUGCCUGUAGAGGGCACAUGGGCAGGGGAUACAGUAUACUCCACUGCCCACAGGUGAAGGUGGACAAAGGUCAGGCUCUGGAAGGUUACGCUGUAUAUGAGAGACCCAAAAUCCUGCUGCCCAAGUCUCUGUGCAAGCUCCUCAGCCCUGAGUAGCCAUUCUCCUGCCUGACUUCUCUUCCACUGUGCACGGAGGCCA
ensembl:antisense Frs3os fibroblast growth factor receptor substrate 3, opposite strand